CUCUGCUCAUUUCCCAUAAACAUACCUCACCAUCCCAGGACAACAAAGGAAUGCCAUGUAAGAAACAAACAAGACUGAUUAUCUCCUACCACAAACAGGAAUACAGAAAACAUGGGGCCAGAUUCAGCAACACAGACAGGUUAGUGAUGUUUCGAGAGGGCUCUCCCAGGCACUGAGAUGCAGCUUAGAAAUAUGCUGGAUGUUACCCAGUUGCGGGCCCGGAAGGCCUGUACGCAGCGCGAGCCCAGAGCGCCCCUGCCGCCGUACACCAGCACCCGGCGCGCCUCGCCUGAAGCCGCCAUCCUGCUCCUGACAGACUCCCGCGGUACUGAACGCCG
ensembl:antisense Gm42413 predicted gene, 42413